rnacentral:rRNA from 1 species
UAGGGAAUCUUCCACAAUGGACGCAAGUCUGAUGGAGCAACGCCGCGUGAGUGAAGAAGGUUUUCGGAUCGUAAAGCUCUGUUGUUGGUGAAGAAGGAUAGAGGCAGUAACUGGUCUUUAUUUGACGGUAAUCAACCAGAAAGUCACGGCUAACUACGUGCCAGCAGCCGCGGUAAUACGUAGGUGGCAAGCGUUGUCCGGAUUUAUUGGGCGUAAAGCGAGCGCAGGCGGAAUGAUAAGUCUGAUGUGAAAGCCCACGGCUCAACCGUGGAACUGCAUCGGAAACUGUCAUUCUUGAGUGCAGAAGAGGAGAGUGGAACUCCAUGUGUAGCGGUGGAAUGCGUAGAUAUAUGGAAGAACACCAGUGGCGAAGGCGGCUCUCUGGUCUGCAACUGACGCUGAGGCUCGAAGCAUGGGUAGCGAACAGGAUUAGAUACCCUGGU